AUUGAACGCUAGCGGCAGGCCUAAUACAUGCAAGUCGAACGGUGUCUUCGGACAUAGUGGCGCACGGGUGCGUAACACGUAUGCAACCUACCUUACAUUGGGGGAUAGCCUUUCGAAAGGGAGAUUAAUACCGCAUAAGACAGUAGCUGGGCAUCCAGCAGCUGUUAAAGAUUUAUCGAUGUAAGCUGGGCAUGCGUCCAAUUAGCUAGUUGGUGAGGUAACGGCUCACCAAGGCUAUGAUUGGUAGGGGAACUGAGAGGUCAAUCCCCCACACUGGCACUGAGAUACGGGCCAGACUCCUACGGGAGGCAGCAGUAGGGAAUAUUGGGCAAUGGACGCAAGUCUGACCCAGCCAUGCCGCGUGCAGGAUGAAGGCGUUAUGCGUUGUAAACUGCUUUUAUACAGGAAGAAACGACUCUUGCGAGAGGCAUUGACGGUACUGUAUGAAUAAGCACCGGCUAACUCCGUGCCAGCAGCCGCGGUAA
rnacentral:rRNA from 1 species